CGGAGAGCUUGCUCUCUGGUGGCGAGUGGCGAACGGGUGAGUAAUGCAUCGGAACGUACCGAGUAAUGGGGGAUAACUGUCCGAAAGGAUGGCUAAUACCGCAUACGCCCUGAGGGGGAAAGCGGGGGAUCGAAAGACCUCGCGUUAUUUGAGCGGCCGAUGUUGGAUUAGCUAGUUGGUGGGGUAAAGGCCUACCAAGGCGACGAUCCAUAGCGGGUCUGAGAGGAUGAUCCGCCACAUUGGGACUGAGACACGGCCCAAACUCCUACGGGAGGCAGCAGUGGGGAAUUUUGGACAAUGGGGGGAACCCUGAUCCAGCCAUGCCGCGUGUCUGAAGAAGGCCUUCGGGUUGUAAAGGACUUUUGUUAGGGAAGAAAAGCCGGGUGUUAAUACCACCUGGUGCUGACGGUACCUAAAGAAUAAGCACCGGCUAACUACGUGCCAGCAGCCGCGGUAAUACGUAGGGUGCGAGCGUUAAUCGGAAUUACUGGGCGUAAAGCGAGCGCAGACGGUUAAUUAAGUCAGAUGUGAAAUCCCCGAGCUCAACUUGGGACGUGCAUUUGAAACUGGUUAACUAGAGUGUGUCAGAGGGAGGUAGAAUUCCACGUGUAGCAGUGAAAUGCGUAGAGAUGUGGAGGAAUACCGAUGGCGAAGGCAGCCUCCUGGGAUAACACUGACGUUCAUGCUCGAAAGCGUGGGUAGCAAACAGGAUUAGAUACCCUGGUAGUCCACGCCCUAAACGAUGACAAUUAGCUGUUGGGACACUAGAUGUCUUAGUAGCGAAGCUAACGCGUGAAAUUGUCCGCCUGGGGAGUACGGUCGCAAGAUUAAAACUCAAAGGAAUUGACGGGGACCCGCACAAGCGGUGGAUGAUGUGGAUUAAUUCGAUGCAACGCGAAGAACCUUACCUGGUCUUGACAUGUACGGAAUCUCUUAGAGAUAGGAGAGUGCCUUCGGGAACCGUAACACAGGUGCUGCAUGGCUGUCGUCAGCUCGUGUCGUGAGAUGUUGGGUUAAGUCCCGCAACGAGCGCAACCCUUGUCAUUAGUUGCCAUCAUUAAGUUGGGCACUCUAAUGAGACUGCCGGUGAUAUGCCGGAGGAAGGUGGGGAUGACGUCAAGUCCUCAUGGCCCUUAUGACCAGGGCUU
rnacentral:rRNA from 1 species